AACCAGCACCUCAAGUGGUCAGGAUGAUUAUUGGGCCUAAAGCAUCCGUAGCCGGCUUUGUAAGUUUUCGGUUAAAUCCCUGCGCUCAACGUAUGGGCUGCCGGCAAUACUGCCAAGCUAGGGAGUGGGAGAGGUAGACGGAACUCGGGAGGAAGGGGUAAAAUCCUUUGAUCUAUUGAUGACCACCUGUGGCGAAGGCGGUCUACCAGAACACGGCCGACGGUGAGGGAUGAAAGCUGGGGGAGCAAACCGGAUUAGAUACCCGGGUAGUCCCAGCUGUAAACUAUGCAAACUCAGUGAUGCAUUGGCUUGAUGCCAAUGCAGUGCUGCAGGGAAGCCGUUAAGUUUGCCGCCUGGGAAGUACGUACGCAAGUAUGAAACUUAAAGGAAUUGGCGGGGGAGCACCACAAGGGGUGAAGCCUGCGAUUCAAUUGGAGUCAACGCCAGAAAUCUUACCCGGAGAGACAGCAGAAUGAGGGUCAAGCUGAAGACUUUACCAGACAAGCUGAGAGGUGGUGCAUGGCCGUCUCCAGCUCGUGCCGUGAGAUGUCCUGUUAAGUCAGGUAACGAGCGAGAUCCCUGCCUCUAGUUGCCACCACUACUCUCAGGAGUAGUGGGGCGAAUUAGCGGGACCGCCGUACAUAAUACGGAGGAAGGAAGGGACCACGGCAGGUCAGUAUGCCCCGAAACUCUGGGGCCACACGCGGGCUGCAAUGGUAGCGACAACGUGUUCCGAAUCCGAAAGGAGGAGGUAAUCCUCAAACGCUUCCACAGUUAUGACUGAGGGCUGCAACUCGCCCUCACGAAUAUGGAAUCCCUAGUAACUGCGUGUCACUAUCGCGCGGUGAAUACGUCCUUGCUCCU
rnacentral:rRNA from 1 species